rnacentral:tRNA from 11 species
GUGGCCUGGAGGUUGAUACACCAGGCUCCCAAGUUGGAAGUCGUAGGUUCGAGACCAGUAA